CCUACGGGUGGCAGCAGUGAGGAAUAUUGGUCAAUGGGCUUACGCCUGAACCAGCCAAGUCGCGUGAGGGAAGACUGCCCUAUGGGUUGUAAACCUCUUUUGUCAGGGAGCAACGCCGGCUACGUGUAGCCGGACUGAGAGUACCUGAAGAAAAAGAAUCGGCUAACUCCGUGCAAGCAGCCGCGGUAAUACGUAGGAUGCGAGCGUUAUCCGGAUUGAUUGGGUUAAAAGGGUGCGUAGGCGGAAUGCCAAGUCAGCGGUAAAAUCGCGGGGCUCAACCUCGCUCCGCCGUUGAAACUGGCGUUCUUGAGUGGGCGAGAAGAAUGCGGAAUGCGUGGUGUAGCGGUGAAAUGCAUAGAUAUCACGCAGAACUCCGAUUGCGAAGGCAGCAUACCGGCGCCCAACUGACGCUGAAGCACGAAAGCGUGGGUAUCGAACAGGAUUAGAUACCCCAGUAGUC
rnacentral:rRNA from 1 species